AAUUAUAUUUUCCAGUCUACUAAUUAAAAUAUGCAAUUGAAUUGGUAAAUUUUAUAGUUUUAGCAAGAAUGAUAAGAACUUUGUGCCAUAAAGGGAAACCUUUAUGGUGUUGUGCUAGCAACCUCCACGGGAGAAGUUAAGACUUUUCUGUGGCCUGUGGGUUGUCCCCUUUUUUGACUGCAGCUGGCCACCUCUUCUUCUGGCAGUUUCUCUUUUAUCAGUUAAAAAAAAAAAGAGAUAAAUCUGGCAAUGUAUUCCACUACAUUAAGGACUUGCACUGGGCUGUGGCUACCCAACUGACUAUGAGUAGCAAGAGGCUGUAUUAGCCUUGUAUUGUUGGACAUCUCUUCCUUCAUUUUUGGUGUGCUCCUAUUUGCUCAAUGGUUUGACUCUGUUACUUUGAGGAUUGAAAAAUCUUGUCAUUAAUCUGAUUGUUAUUCAUCUUUUUGUUAUUGUUUGUUAUUCUUUCCAUCACACAAUAAAUGGAAAGUUACAAAUGACAUGCAUUUUAAAGAAACAAG